AGCGAACGCUGGCGGCAGGCUUAACACAUGCAAGUCGAGCGGGCACCUUCGGGUGUCAGCGGCAGACGGGUGAGUAACACGUGGGAACGUACCCUUUGGUUCGGAACAACUCUGGGAAACUGGAGCUAAUACCGGAUACGCUCUUAUGGGGAAAGGUUUACCGCCGAAGGAUCGGCCCGCGUCUGAUUAGCUAGUUGGUGAGGUAACGGCCCACCAAGGCGACGAUCAGUAGCUGGUCUGAGAGGAUGAUCAGCCACACUGGGACUGAGACACGGCCCAGACUCCUACGGGAGGCAGCAGUGGGGAAUAUUGGACAAUGGGCGCAAGCCUGAUCCAGCCAUGCCGCGUGAGUGAUGAAGGCC
rnacentral:rRNA from 1 species